GAUGAAGAACGUAGCGAAAUGCGAUAAGUAAUGUGAAUUGCAGAAUUCAGUGAAUCAUCGAAUCUUUGAACGCACAUUGCGCCCGCCAGUAUUCUGGCGGGCAUGCCUGUCCGAGCGUCAUUUCAACCCUCGAACCCCUCCGGGGGGUCGGCGUUGGGGACCUCGGGAGCCCCUAAGACGGGAUCCCGGCCCCGAAAUACAGUGGCGGUCUCGCCGCAGCCUCUCCUGCGCAGUAGUUUGCACAACUCGCACCGGGAGCGCGGCGCGUCCACGUCCGUAAAACACCCAACUUCUGAAAUGUUGACCUCGGAUCAGGUAGGAAUACCCGCUGAACUUAAGCAUAUCAAUAAGCGGAGA
rnacentral:misc_RNA from 1 species